CCGUACUGGACUGGGGGGUAACCAAAUCGAGCACACUUUUACGGACUUGUUACAAACGACGCAGCCGAAACUGCAAGACACAUGCGAUUGGCUUCAGGUAAACUUCCCCUGGGAGUGACAUGUAAACAGCUUGAAGCAAGCAUGUGUUGCCUCAUUUUGGAGAACUGUGCAGUCAGGUUGCUGGGGCAGCAGGUUAAGGAGAGAAUUCCAGACUUCCCUCUCCCUAGCCACUUCGUUCAACUCUUCCGGGGGAUCCCGAAAUGUUCCAAGGUCACCCGGAACACUUCAACAGAGAGGCGUCCACGGGGCAUCCUAACCAGAUGCGCGAGCCAUAUCAUCUGGCUCCUCUCAAUGCGGAGCAGUGGGUCUCCACUGAGCCUCUACCGGAUGACAGCACUUCUAACCCUAUCUCCAAGGGAGUGCCCAGACACUCUGCGGAGGAAAGUCAUUUCGGCCGCUUGUAUCUGCGAUCUUGUUCUUUCGGUGACGAUCACAUCCCUUCAGGUCUCACUGUCAUAAGUCCCCCAGCAGAAAGAAGGAGUCCUCAAUGCUCUUCAGCACCCACACCUAGGACCCCCAAAAAAGGGUGGGUACUCUUAACUGCCGUUUGGUACAUAGGCACAAACAACAGCCUGUACCUGUCCCCCCACUCGAAGGCAGAGGGAGGCUACUGAGCCGGGGUCAAUAAGUAUGCCCACACCUGCUUGGCGCCUCUCACCGUGGGCAACUCCAGAGUGGAAUACCGACCAACACUUCUCAAGAGGACUGGUACCAGAGCUCAAGCUGUGUGUCGAGAACAGGCUGACGAUCAAGUCGGAACCUCGCACACCAGCUUGGGCUCCUUCCCUGCUGGUGUCAGUUACUUGCAGACUUUCGUUAUUCGCAGCAGGGCUCGGUCCCUAUCGCCACAAACGCUGUAAUCUAUUUGAGUAAUAUUUGAUAGUAGUUAACGUCUCUUAAAACCUGCAUAACAGUUGAUAAUGGUAAAGGCAAUGACAAAGGCUGAGUCGGGAAUAGAACAUUUUUUACAUAAUUUGCUAUGAAAUGUUUCUUUUUUUUUUGUUGGAACAAUUUGGAACUCAACCAGUUAUGGAACAGUUCGUGCCCUACUUCCAAGCGUAAUGUGAUGCAGUGGAAACAA